AUCCCGGUAACGCAACUUGCAAAG
rnacentral:siRNA from 1 species